GCAACCUGCCCUCGGAUGGGGAAUAACCACUCGAAAGAGUGGCUAAUACCGCAUAUUGUCUUCUGACCGCAUGGCCGGAAGAUGAAAGCCUUCGGGCGUCUGAGGAUGGGCCUGCGUCGGAUUAGGUAGUUGGUGAGGUAACGGCUCACCAAGCCUUCGAUCCGUAGCUGGUCUGAGAGGAUGAUCAGCCACACUGGCACUGAGACACGGGCCAGACUCCUACGGGAGGCAGCAGUGAGGAAUAUUGCGCAAUGGGCGAAAGCCUGACGCAGCCACGCCGCGUGAAGGAUGACACCCCUCUGGGGCGUAAACUUCUUUUGUGU
rnacentral:rRNA from 1 species